GACGAACGCUGGCGGCGUGCUUAACACAUGCAAGUCGUACGGUAAGGCCCUUUCGGGGGUCCACGAGUGGCGAACGGGUGAGUAACACGUGAGUAACCUGCCCACAACUUUGGGAUCACGCUAGGAAACUGGUGCUAAUACUGGAUAUGUGCUCCUGCUGCAUGGGCGGGGUUGGUAAGCUCCGGCGGUUGUGGAUGGACUCGCGGCCUAUCAGCUUGGUGGUGGGGUAGUGGCCUACCAAGGCGGCGACGGGUAGCCGGCCUGAGAGGGUGACCGGCCACAUUGGGACUGAGAUACGGCCCAGACUCCUACGGGAGGCAGCAGUGGGGAGUAUUGCACAAUGGGCGCAAGCCUGAUGCGGCGACGCCGCGUGCGGGAUGACGGCCUUCGGGUUGUGAACCGCUUUCAGCAGGGACGAAGCGUUUUGUGACGGUACCUGCAGAAGAAGCACCGGCUAACUACGUG
rnacentral:rRNA from 1 species